GACGAACGCUGGCGGCGUGCUUAACACAUGCAAGUCGAACGGUGAUGACAGGGCUUGCCUUGUCGGAUCAGUGGCGAACGGGUGAGUAACACGUGAGUAACCUGCCCCAGACUCUGGGAUAACCCCGGGAAACCGGAGCUAAUACCGGAUAGGACCCUUGCGCGCAUGUGCUGGGGGUGGAAAGUUUUUCGGUCGGGGAUGGGCUCGCGGCCUAUCAGCUUGUUGGUGAGGUAGUGGCUCACCAAGGCGACGACGGGUAGCCGGCCUGAGAGGGCGACCGGCCACACUGGGACUGAGACACGGCCCAGACUCCUACGGGAGGCAGCAGUGGGGAAUAUUGCACAAUGGGCGAAAGCCUGAUGCAGCGACGCCGCGUGAGGGAUGACGGCCUUCGGGUUGUAAACCUCUUUCAGCAGGGAAGAAGCGCAAGUGACGGUACCUGCAGAAGAAGCACCGGCUAACUACGUGCCAGCCGCCGCUGUAAAAC
rnacentral:rRNA from 1 species